rnacentral:rRNA from 1 species
UCCUACGGGGCGCAGCAGUGAGGAAUAUUGGUCAAUGGCCGAGAGGCUGAACCAGCCAGGUCGCGUGAGGGAAGACGGCCCUACGGGUUGUAAACCUCUUUUGUCGGGGAGCAAAGCGAGUCACGUGUGACUCAUUGAGAGUACCCGAAGAAAAAGCAUCGGCUAACUCCGUGCCAGCAGCCGCGGUAAUACGGAGGAUGCGAGCGUUAUCCGGAUUUAUUGGGUUUAAAGGGUGCGUAGGCGGACUGUUAAGUCAGCGGUAAAAGCCCGGGGCUCAACCCCGGCGAGCCGUUGAAACUGGCUGU